CGUAGCGCAGCGGGUGGCAGAUGGCCACGUAGCGGUCAUAGGCCAUGGCGGCCAGCAGGAAGCACUCGGCCCCGCCCAGCGCCACGAACAUCUGCAUCUGAACGGCGCAGCCCAGGAACGAGAUGGGGCUGCCCCUGCCGAGGCUGGGCGAAGCCAGGUCGGCCAGCGAGCGGGGCACGACCACCAGCGUGUAGCAGAGCUCGAUGGAUGACAGCUGGCACAGGAAGAGCAGCAUGGGCGGCCGUCUGGGAACCGAGGCCACGGCCACCAGGAUGAGCAGGUUCCCACUCAGGGUGGCCAGGUGCACUGCCAGCAGCAGCAGGAAGAGCGCCAGCCUCAGAGAGACGGAUGACUUGGAGAUGAGUGGAGAGGAGACGCCGAUGAUGGUGACCGGAGUUCUUCUAUUGAAGAUAAUGUAGAGUGUUGAAUGAUGGUCGUACGGGAAGCAGAAGAAUCCUCCUGUCUCCCCUUCUUCAAAAGUAUAAGGAGCUGCACCAGAGGAUGGAAGUGAGGGCAGAACCCAACCCUAUGGGAGAGAAGACAG
rnacentral:lncRNA from 1 species